GGAGAUUUGCAACUGAGCACAGCAAGAACAGGAUAGAGUCCUAAUAACAGGAGGACAGCUUUGCUUGGCAGAGGGUUUUUGGAAAUACAACAGAGAUGCAAAGAGAAUAGCUAAAAGGCAUCAUAGAUUCAGAGUCACAGCAGGAGACUGGAACAACGGUGCACAGGAAGACAUUUUAUAAGGAAGUUUUGAUUUCCUUUGAUGACUCAGUAGAUCUUUGAAAAAUUGACAACUCACCUAUAAAGAUCACACUUCUAACCUGAGCGGGAUCCAGAGGGUGGCAAGUUCAGGUAUUUGCCAGUGACCCAAGAAGAGCCAAGAUAUCACAGCCCCACCAAGGUUGUUAGUCUUGGUGACAAUAUUUAUCAUGAAGCAUCCAAGGAGGUCAGAGGUAAGUCUUGGGUUGCAGCACUACCUUUUCCAGGUUCAGGGGAGCAUUGUCCAAAGACUCCCCAAAUCUCAUAGCUAGCGCUGUUCCUGGGUAUUGGAAACUGUAUGAAUAACACUUCAAAAACCUUUUCAGGCAGUGGAUGAGCUCAGAGCCAGAGCAAAAUGUUUUGCUACCCUGAGUAGAAAAUGAUCGGGGGGGGGGGGGCGGGGCGGGAUAUAACCCAGGAUCUUGUGCAAUGAUGUAGAUAAUUUGGGGACAGGAGACUAGGAUUGCAUAUUCUUUUCACUAGCAUGACUAAAAUACCAGUGUUCCAAAUGACUGCUUGUGUUAUUCAUUUUGGGGUGGAGCUACCUGAACGUCACCUCAAAUUAUGGUUAGGCUCUAUAAGGGCACAGAAGCCCAGUCACCACUCCAGUGGAUGAAGCUCAUCAUCACCCUGCCUCCUUCUCAUGAAGGAAGGCUAAAUGUGCAUAUGUGAAGAAACAGGGCAGGGAAAAUGGAGGCAAGUGGGGGCAAGGGUGGUGUGCAGAUUAGCUGGCCUCUGAAGAAAAGGCAGUGAGGAAAUUGAGUACAAUAUAUUCUCCAGUAAUUGUGGGCUAGCUACUUUAUUAUUAUUAUUAUUAUGAUUUGGGCUUUUUCCACAAUUUGCAUUUUCUAGAAAUACAAAUUUCCUAAACAUGCCAUUUUAUAAACAUAUCAUUUCAGAAAGCAAGAUAUUUGCCAUUUCCCUCUAACAAAAAUAAGCCUUCACAGGGUCAGUGGAUUAAAAUGAUUUUUUUAAAAAACCACGGUGUGAAAUCUCAAGUGAAAAACAAGUAUGGGCUUUAAGGAUUAACACAGCCAGCCUCAACAGACAUUUGAACAGGUGUUUGAAAAUGAAUACAAAGAUUUAAUAUAUCCCUGACUCCAGUGAGCAUAGGUAAUCCUUCUAAAUCCUCUAACUUUCCUUAACGUAUACAGUAGCAACUAUAUGCUGCAUAUGCGGCUAGACUAGAUACAAUUGUGGAAUGCCAACUCCAUCCCUAACUUCAUACUGGGUGGAGAAGGCGUUGCAGUGGUGGAAGGUGGCAAAGGGAGAUUAGUGAAAGAAGAAGGUAGAGAUCUUCCCUUCACAAACAUAUGACUUCUGACCUUGAGGGAAAGGCACAAGAAGCUAAAUAUGCAGCCAAACACAAAAUAGUUAAUAAUAAUAAUAAUAAUAAUAAUAAUAAUAAUAAUAAUUUAUACCUUGCCUAUCUGGCUGGGCUUCCCCAUCCACUCUGGGUGGCUUCCAACAAAAUAUUAAAAUACAGUAAUCCAUCAAACAUUAAAAGCUUCCCUAAACAGGGCUGCCUUCAGUUGUCUUCUAAAACUCUGGUAGUUGUUGUUCUCUUUGACAUCUGGUGGGAGGGCAUUCCACAGGGCUGGUGCCACCACUGAGAAGGCCCUCUGCCUGGUUCCCUGUAACUUGGCUUCUCGCACUGAGGGAACCGCCAGAAAGCUCUUGGUGCUGGACCUCAGUGUCCGGGUAGAACAAUGGGGGUGGAGACGCUAAAGAUGCAAGUCAUAGUAGGGCUGAAACUGGAGUUUUGGUGGAGCACUGGGAUGAUCCAUGGGAAUUUGCAGACCAGGUCUGAGAGUUGAGAAGCCAAACCAAAGGGAGCUGCAAUGAGGAAAAGCAGGAGGAACUGUCACACUAGGAGAAAGGGGGAGGGAAGAUGGCAGACAGGGAAGCAAGAGGAGAAAAACACUGACUGACAUUCAUUGGUCAUAUUUAGCCAUCACAAUAAACAAUAGCUUUGUAUUAUGAGAACAAGCUGCAGUCAGCCUUGGGCUCCCCCAUCAGUUUCGCUUUACCACAGCUUCUUACCAUCCCAAGCAACCUGUGGUUAAUCUUAAAUAUGGCUUGUUUGAAACAAGCCAACUUUAACUGGAUGUAACAUCCAAACUGGGCCAUUAGGGCUGUCACAAGAAAUUCUGCUACCUGAGGCAGCUGGAGGCUCUGCUACAGCCCAACUCCUUCUCCCCUGUACAAUAGCUAUUGCCCACACAUUUUCCCCAGCUCCCAUUGGUUUUCCCUCCACAACAUGUCUCCCUUCCUGCCUUACUCUGAGGAAGGGCUGAGGUGGUCCUUCCUCAGAGGGAGGCAAUCUAGGUGAAGUGGCCAGGGGAGUGCCUGUAGUGUUGCUGCUGCAGCUAGAAAUGCUGUUUAAACUUUAAGAAUUCAAAGUGACUUUAAACUUCAUCUCUAGCCACUGUGGCAAACCAUGGUGGCAGUCCAGGUGCCCUCCUGGCCACCUCACCCAGAAUGCUUUGCUCUGAUAACUCCUUUGGCCUCUUCAGAGUGAGCAGAGUGGCUAGAGAGGCAGAAGCCUUGCUGGAUGGGUAGCUGGUCAUAGUAGCAUCAGGAGGGCUGGCUGGCAGGCAGUGAGGCAGACAAGAAAGGGACCAAUUCAUUGCCCCCUGCCCCUUCAGGUUGCCUCCUUAUAGUGACAGACAGCCCUUUAGUGUGUAUAAUUGUGUUUGUGCACACUUGCAGCUCCAACUGGAUUGUACACGUCUGCAAACAGCUAUGAAAAUUAUCCACAGUUAUAUUUUUUAAUGUUGCUUGUGUUAAUCUUACAUUACGCCAAUAGAAAUUGCAAAGCUUCAAAGCAAAAUGAUUUUUUUAAAAAAAAAACCCUGGCCCCAGGGCAUUUCACAUGAUUUCUUUUCAGACACAGCUAAGAACAACUAAUGCAUUACUAGCGUCUCUAAACCAAUGAGAGAUGGAGAAGGAGAAGAACAGAAAGUCUUAAAAGAUGACCAUAAGAAGUUCCAAUUCUCAGAAGUCACGGAGACAGUCAAAGGGCAGAGUAAGACAUUUUAAGAAAUACAGAGCUCUCUGGCUCAAGGUUAUUCAUGCUCCAUAAACCUCCCAGUUCGAUUACUGCAAUGUGUUAUGCUUAGGGCUACAUUUGAAGAUAAUUUGGAAGCUCCAAUUAGCACCGGAUGCAGAAGGGCCAG
rnacentral:lncRNA from 1 species